rnacentral:rRNA from 1 species
AUACAGAGGGUGCGAGUGUUAAUCGGAAUUACUGGGCGUAAAGCGCGCGUAGGCGGCUUAUUAAGUCAGAUGUGAAAUCCCCGGGCUCAACCUGGGAACUGCAUCUGAUACUGGUAAGCUAGAGUUUGGGAGAGGGAAGUAGAAUUUCAGGUGUAGCGGUGAAAUGCAUAGAGAUCUGAAGGAAUACCAGUGGCGAAGGCGACUUCCUGGCCUAAAACUGACGCUGAGGUGCGAAAGCGUGGGUAGCAAACGGAAUUAGAAACCCGAGUAGUCC